rnacentral:rRNA from 1 species
UACAAUUGACAUACUGCGCCUUUUCUAGAGAUAGAUUAGUGCCUUCGGGAGCGCAGAUAC